UAGUGUUAAAUCCCCAGUCAACCCAACUUACCGGGUUGAAGGGGGAUUUAAUGGGUUGGUAAAUCCGCUAAAUUCAUUGCCAGGAUGGAAAAGGCCUAUCCUGAUAAUGAAUUUAACUCUCAAGCCAGUAUAAAGGAUGAGAGACAACCCAUAAUGUUAAAACAAACAAUAAAAAUUUUCCCGACUUUUUCCUCCACUUUAAAAUUUAUUAUUGUCUUACUAUUGUAUUAAUACAUACCAUAAUCAUUAAACAAACAGACUUUUAUCAAUAUUACACACCUUUGAACAUACCAGGAUGCCAAACUGAAUGGUACGAGUAUUAAAGUUCCGAUCACGAGCAAUUUUUUUUUUCGCUAGGAAAAUAUUCAUAAAAAAUUUAGUUUUACAGCGAUCCUCAUGAAACUUUCAUAGAUUCCUUAUUAUAAUAGGUACUCUUAAUUUAAAUACUUAGAACCACUGUUACAGAGAAAAAAAAUUAUGGUUCGAACAUGAUUAUGCGCAUGUUAAGUUAAGUUUAUUUUACGUUCGUGCUACCCGUCAGUGGUAUGGUUCCAAUAUUAUUUGUUUUAUUUCUCUUAAUAUACUUCUUAUUGUAUGCUGAACGAGUUUACACCAACUAUGUAUGUAUUUGUCCGUAAAUUGUGUAUUUGAUAUUUGAUGUGAUAAAAAUACUGUAUAAGUAGACUACAAUGGAUUUGUUAAAGAGUAUAGUUUAUGCGGAGUGGCACACGGUUGUUGUGGAGGCCCGCGCGGCCUGAUAUAGACACUGAGAGACAGGAGAGUGAGACAAGUGGAGACGGUUUGCUAGCUACGGGUCUCCCUCGUAGGACUCGGGAAUAAGGUCGCCCCUCCUGUUCUAUAGACUGGUUAUGAAAGUGAGACGUCAGUGGAUUACCUAUCAAUUAUCAAAGCACCAGUGACGUAUCCGGCUGUUGGGGAUUCCACGCCAUAGUAUUUUCAACACAACUGACGCUGGCAAUGUUGUGAGUGUUAUGGUUAUUGUGUAUUUGUGUGAUUUUUGUCAUGCUAUGAUUUACAGUGAUAUGUAUGAGGAUUUUCUGAGCUUUAUAAUGAUGUGAGUCACACAGGGUAUUUAUCCAUUGUUUGGGAGGUUUAUCAUAUUGUGAACUGCAGAGAUAUUUUUGUGAUUUCUGUACUUAUUAUACUAUGAGGUACAUGGGAACUAUUCAAGGUCUGAUCAUGUUAUGUAGUGAUUAUUUUUGUAUUUUUAGUGUUUCUACGCUCAUAUGAUUUUACCAUGAUUUGGUAUCGGGCUGAUUUAUCCUGGACCCACAGGUUGGAACGCUACAAUAAAUGUUGCAACACA